rnacentral:miRNA from 1 species
ACUGUGCCUCUCUGUUUUCAG